UGAACUUUACCUGUGCUCACAGAAAAGGACAGAAGUUGGUAUUUUUCAGAAGCCCUUGCCUUUGGCUGUAGCUUGAGGUUGAGAGAUGGAGUCCCUCAUUAUCCUCUGGCCCUCUAAAGAAUAUUUCUCUCUCUGAAGUCCAACGCAGAAGUUUUCAAUGCAUUCCGAAGAGGCAUGUGAUAGCAGGGAGACAUUUUGGGAGACAAUCAUGUGUUCUACAAAGGCUACAUGUGCAGCUGUGCUAGAUAAGGCUGGGCGACAUCUCCACUACAUCCUGCAGAGGAGAGAAGCCAUGUCAGGUGCAGAAGGAGGUACUCAGCGCAGCCGUGUUUAAGCAGAGGAAGGGCUUUGUGAUCUGAUCCAAGUCCACCUUCAACUGGCAGGAACCUUGAGAUUUUAUAGGAACGCGAAACCGAAAGGGGUGGGUUGGUAUCACUGACUGCUGUAGUCCUGGUCAGGCACUGCUCCCGAUUGAGCAUUUCCUCAGGUCCGUUCUGCGUGGAGAUUUGAACAAGUUGUUUCAUUUGAGAGCCCUGUGGCUAUGAUACUCUAGGGAGCUGCCUAGGGACCACUGGUGCUUGGCUGUUUAAAGGGUCAUCUUUCCUGCGAAGCUUCUGUUGCUUAGACAGGAGUGAGAGGGCUGUUCAGUUCUUUGUCCUCGAGUGUUUACUGAAGAAUCCUGAGGUUUGUUUGUUUGUUUGUUUGUUUUUCUGGUAUUCAAGCAAACGAUAGGAGAACGUGACUUACGGAGAAAGUUAAGAGAGGAACGAAUCCAAAUGAAGGAGGCCAUGACUGCCGCCCUCGUUUAAGUCAGUCUUCUGUUUUGCAUGCCUGGGUCAUUUUUUUCCCGUGGUAUGGCUAAGUACCUGGAUCCAGAGCUGAGUUGCUUUGUCUGGAG
rnacentral:lncRNA from 1 species